UCGUAACAAGGUCUCCGUUGGUGAACCAGCGGAGGGAUCAUUACCGAGUUAUACAACUCAUCAACCCUGUGAACAUACCUAAAACGUUGCUUCGGCGGGAACAGACGGCCCUGUAACAACGGGCCGCCCCCGCCAGAGGACCCCUAACUCUGUUUUUAUAAUGUUUUUCUGAGUAAACAAGCAAAUAAAUUAAAACUUUCAACAACGGAUCUCUUGGCUCUGGCAUCGAUGAAGAACGCAGCGAAAUGCGAUAAGUAAUGUGAAUUGCAGAAUUCAGUGAAUCAUCGAAUCUUUGAACGCACAUUGCGCCCGCCAGUAUUCUGGCGGGCAUGCCUGUUCGAGCGUCAUUACAACCCUCAGGCCCCCGGGCCUGGCGUUGGGGAUCGGCGGAAGCCCCCUGUGGGCACACGCCGUCCCUCAAAUACAGUGGCGGUCCCGCCGCAGCUUCCAUUGCGUAGUAGCUAACACCUCGCAACUGGAGAGCGGCGCGGCCAUGCCGUAAAACACCCAACUUCUGAAUGUUGACCUCGAAUCAGGUAGGAAUACCCGCUGAACUUAAGCAUAUCAAUAA
rnacentral:misc_RNA from 1 species